rnacentral:rRNA from 1 species
CCACACGUUCCCAUCCCGAACACGACCGUUAAGCCCUCUAGCGCCGAUGGUACUUGGACCGCAGGGUCCUGGGAGAGUAGGAAGCCGCCA